GAAAUUUUUCCCAAACUGGGAUUAGAUACCCCACUAUGCUUAGCCCUAAACAUAGAUAAUUUUACAACAAAAUAAUUCGCCAGGGGACUACUAGCAAUAGCUUAAAACUCAAAGGACUUGGCGGUGCUUUAUAUCCCUCUAGAGGAGCCUGUUCUAUAAUCGAUAAACCCCGAUAAA
rnacentral:rRNA from 1 species